UACGUAGGGGCCGAGCGUUGUCCGGAGUUAUUGGGCGUAAAGCGCGCGCAGGCGGCUUCGCGCGCCCGACGUGAAAGCCCCCGGCUUAACCGGGGAGAGUCGUUGGGGACGGCGGAGCUUGAGGGCGGGAGAGGUCGGUGGAAUUCCCGGUGUAGUGGUGAAAUGCGUAGAGAUCGGGAGGAACACCUGUGGCGAAGGCGGCCUUCUGGACCAAUACUGACGCUCAUGCACGAAAGCGUGGGGAGCAAACAGG
rnacentral:rRNA from 1 species